AGCGUACACGGUGGAUGCCCUGGCAGUCAGAGGCGAUGAAGGACGUGCUAAUCUGCGAUAAGCGUCGGUAAGGUGAUAUGAACCGUUAUAACCGGCGAUUUCCGAAUGGGGAAACCCAGUGUGAUUCGUCACACUAUCAUUAACUGAAUCCAUAGGUUAAUGAGGCGAACCGGGGGAACUGAAACAUCUAAGUACCCCGAGGAAAAGAAAUCAACCGAGAUUCCCCCAGUAGCGGCGAGCGAACGGGGAGCAGCCCAGAGCCUGAAUCAGUGUGUGUGUUAGUGGAAGCGUCUGGAAAGGCGCGCGAUACAGGGUGACAGCCCCGUACACAAAAAUGCACAUACUGUGAGCUCGAUGAGUAGGGCGGGACACGUGGUAUCCUGUCUGAAUAUGGGGGGACCAUCCUCCAAGGCUAAAUACUCCUGACUGACCGAUAGUGAACCAGUACCGUGAGGGAAAGGCGAAAAGAACCCCGGCGAGGGGAGUGAAAAAGAACCUGAAACCGUGUACGUACAAGCAGUGGGAGCACAGAGCAAUCUGUGUGACUGCGUACCUUUUGUAUAAUGGGUCAGCGACUUAUAUUCUGUAGCAAGGUUAACCGAAUAGGGGAGCCGAAGGGAAACCGAGUCUUAACUGGGCGUUAAGUUGCAGGGUAUAGACCCGAAACCCGGUGAUCUAGCCAUGGGCAGGUUGAAGGUUGGGUAACACUAACUGGAGGACCGAACCGACUAAUGUUGAAAAAUUAGCGGAUGACUUGUGGCUGGGGGUGAAAGGCCAAUCAAACCGGGAGAUAGCUGGUUCUCCCCGAAAGCUAUUUAGGUAGCGCCUCGUGAAUUCAUCUCCGGGGGUAGAGCACUGUUUCGGCAAGGGGGUCAUCCCGACUUACCAACCCGAUGCAAACUGCGAAUACCGGAGAAUGUUAUCACGGGAGACACACGGCGGGUGCUAACGUCCGUCGUGAAGAGGGAAACAACCCAGACCGCCAGCUAAGGUCCCAAAGUCAUGGUUAAGUGGGAAACGAUGUGGGAAGGCCCAGACAGCCAGGAUGUUGGCUUAGAAGCAGCCAUCAUUUAAAGAAAGCGUAAUAGCUCACUGGUCGAGUCGGCCUGCGCGGAAGAUGUAACGGGGCUAAACCAUGCACCGAAGCUGCGGCAGCGACGCUUAUGCGUUGUUGGGUAGGGGAGCGUUCUGUAAGCCUGUGAAGGUGUACUGUGAGGUAUGCUGGAGGUAUCAGAAGUGCGAAUGCUGACAUAAGUAACGAUAAAGCGGGUGAAAAGCCCGCUCGCCGGAAGACCAAGGGUUCCUGUCCAACGUUAAUCGGGGCAGGGUGAGUCGACCCCUAAGGCGAGGCCGAAAGGCGUAGUCGAUGGGAAACAGGUUAAUAUUCCUGUACUUGGUGUUACUGCGAAGGGGGGACGGAGAAGGCUAUGUUGGCCGGGCGACGGUUGUCCCGGUUUAAGCGUGUAGGCUGGUUUUCCAGGCAAAUCCGGAAAAUCAAGGCUGAGGCGUGAUGACGAGGCACUACGGUGCUGAAGCAACAAAUGCCCUGCUUCCAGGAAAAGCCUCUAAGCAUCAGGUAACAUCAAAUCGUACCCCAAACCGACACAGGUGGUCAGGUAGAGAAUACCAAGGCGCUUGAGAGAACUCGGGUGAAGGAACUAGGCAAAAUGGUGCCGUAACUUCGGGAGAAGGCACGCUGAUAUGUAGGUGAAGUCCCUCGCGGAUGGAGCUGAAAUCAGUCGAAGAUACCAGCUGGCUGCAACUGUUUAUUAAAAACACAGCACUGUGCAAACACGAAAGUGGACGUAUACGGUGUGACGCCUGCCCGGUGCCGGAAGGUUAAUUGAUGGGGUCAGCGCAAGCGAAGCUCUUGAUCGAAGCCCCGGUAAACGGCGGCCGUAACUAUAACGGUCCUAAGGUAGCGAAAUUCCUUGUCGGGUAAGUUCCGACCUGCACGAAUGGCGUAAUGAUGGCCAGGCUGUCUCCACCCGAGACUCAGUGAAAUUGAACUCGCUGUGAAGAUGCAGUGUACCCGCGGCAAGACGGAAAGACCCCGUGAACCUUUACUAUAGCUUGACACUGAACAUUGAGCCUUGAUGUGUAGGAUAGGUGGGAGGCUUUGAAGUGUGGACGCCAGUCUGCAUGGAGCCGACCUUGAAAUACCACCCUUUAAUGUUUGAUGUUCUAACGUGGACCCGUAAUCCGGGUUGCGGACAGUGUCUGGUGGGUAGUUUGACUGGGGCGGUCUCCUCCUAAAGAGUAACGGAGGAGCACGAAGGUUGGCUAAUCCUGGUCGGACAUCAGGAGGUUAGUGCAAUGGCAUAAGCCAGCUUGACUGCGAGCGUGACGGCGCGAGCAGGUGCGAAAGCAGGUCAUAGUGAUCCGGUGGUUCUGAAUGGAAGGGCCAUCGCUCAACGGAUAAAAGGUACUCCGGGGAUAACAGGCUGAUACCGCCCAAGAGUUCAUAUCGACGGCGGUGUUUGGCACCUCGAUGUCGGCUCAUCACAUCCUGGGGCUGAAGUAGGUCCCAAGGGUAUGGCUGUUCGCCAUUUAAAGUGGUACGCGAGCUGGGUUUAGAACGUCGUGAGACAGUUCGGUCCCUAUCUGCCGUGGGCGCUGGAGAAUUGAGGGGGGCUGCUCCUAGUACGAGAGGACCGGAGUGGACGCAUCACUGGUGUUCGGGUUGUCAUGCCAAUGGCACUGCCCGGUAGCUAAAUGCGGAAGAGAUAAGUGCUGAAAGCAUCUAAGCACGAAACUUGCCCCGAGAUGAGUUCUCCCUGACUCCUUGA
rnacentral:rRNA from 1 species